GGGCGGUAUGGGUGAGGCGAUUGCGCGUCAGGCUGCUCGUGCCAGUUCGGGGAACGGCUCAACCUUCCGGUGCGGUUUCCGUUGUGCCUGCCA
rnacentral:tRNA from 1 species